AAUCUUCCACAAUGGACGAAAGUCUGAUGGAGCAACGCCGCGUGAGCGAAGAAGGUUUUCGGAUCGUAAAGCUCCGUUGCGAGGGAAGAACAAGUACGGGAGUAACUGCCCGUACCUUCACGGUACCUCGUCAGAAAGCCCCGGCUAACUACCUUCCAGCGGCCGCGGUAAUCCGUAGGUGGCAAGCGUUGUCCGGAAUUAUUGGGCGUAAAGCGGGCGCAGGCGGUCCUUUAAGUCUGAUGUGAAAGCCCACGGCUCAACCGUGGAGGGUCAUUGGAAACUGGAGGACUUGAGUACAGAAGAGGAAAGCGGAAUUCCACGUGUAGCGGUGAAAUGCGUAGAGAUGUGGAGGAACACCAGUGGCGAAGGCGGCUUUCUGGUCUGUAACUGACGCUGAGGCGCGAAAGCGUGGGGAGCAAACA
rnacentral:rRNA from 1 species